rnacentral:rRNA from 1 species
UACGGAGGGUGCAAGCGUUAUCCGGAUUCACUGGGUUUAAAGGGUGCGUAGGUGGGCAGGUAAGUCAGUGGUGAAAUCUCCGAGCUUAACUCGGAAACUGCCGUUGAUACUAUUUGUCUUGAAUAUUGUGGAGGUAAGCGGAAUAUGUCAUGUAGCGGUGAAAUGCUUAGAUAUGACAUAGAACACCAAUUGCGAAGGCAGCUUACUACACAACGAUUGACGCUGAGGCACGAAAGCGUGGGGAGCAAACAGG